CACCGCGGUUAUACGAGAGGCCCAAGUUGACAAAUUUCGGCAUAAAAAGUGAUUAAUAUAUGUUUUUACUAAAGUCAAACAUCUUCAAAGCUGUCAUAUGCUCCCGAAGACAGGAGACCCUUCAACGAAAGUGACUUUAAACACUAUUACCUCACGAAAGCUAGGACA
rnacentral:rRNA from 1 species